GAUCAUGGCUCAGGAUGAACGCUAGCUACAGGCUUAACACAUGCAAGUCGAGGGGAAACGAUAUUGGAAGCUUGCUUCCGAUAGGCGUCGACCGGCGCACGGGUGAGUAACGCGUAUCCAACCUGCCCAUCACUUGGGGAUAACCUUGCGAAAGUAAGACUAAUACCCAAUGACGUCUCUAGAAGACAUCUGAAAGAGAUUAAAAGAUUUAUCGGUGAUGGAUGGGGAUGCGU
rnacentral:rRNA from 1 species